AACGAACGCUGGCGGCAUGCCUAACACAUGCAAGUCGAACGAGACCUUCGGGUAUAGUGGCGCACGGGUGCGUAACGCGUGGGAACCUGCCUUUAGGUUCGGAAUAACUCAGAGAAUUUUGAGCUAAUACCGGAUGAUGUCUUCGGUCCCAAGAUUUAUCGCCUUUUGAUGGGCCCGCGUUGGAUUAGCUAGUUGGUGGGGUAAAGGCCUACCAAGGCGACGAUCCAUAGCUGGUAUGAGAGGAAGAUCAGCCACACUGGAACUGAGACACGGCCCAGACUCCUACGGGAGGCAGCAAAGGGGAAUAUUGGACAAUGGGCGAAAGCCUGAUCCAGCAAUGCCGCGUGAGUGAUGAAGGCCUUAGGGUAAUAAAGCUCUUUUACCCGAGAUGAUAAUGACAGUAUCGGGAGAAUAAGCGCCGGCUAACUCCGUG
rnacentral:rRNA from 1 species